UACAUAGGGUGCAAGCGUUAAUCGGAAUACUGGGCGUAAAGCGUGCGCAGGCGGUGAUGUAAGACAGAUGUGAAAUCCCCGGGCUCACCUGGGAACUGCAUUUGUGACUGCAUCGCUGGAGUGCGGCAGAGGGGGAUGGAAUUCCGCGUGUAGCAGUGAAAUGCGUAGAUAUGCGGAGGAACACCGAUGGCGAAGGCAAUCCCCUGGGCCUGCACUGACGCUCAUGCACGAAAGCGUGGGGAGCAAACAGG
rnacentral:rRNA from 1 species